GGGGAAUAUUGGACAAUGGGCGAAAGCCUGAUCCAGCCAUGCCGCGUGUGUGAAGAAGGUCUUCGGAUUGUAAAGCACUUUAAGUUGGGAGGAAGGGCAGUUACCUAAUACGUGAUUGUUUUGACGUUACCGACAGAAUAAGCACCGGCUAACUCUGUGCCAGCAGCCGCGGUAAUACAGAGGGUGCAAGCGUUAAUCGGAAUUACUGGGCGUAAAGCGCGCGUAGGUGGUUAGUUAAGUUGGAUGUGAAAUCCCCGGGCUCAACCUGGGAACUGCAUUCAAAACUGACUGACUAGAGUAUGGUAGAGGGUGGUGGAAUUUCCUGUGUAGCGGUGAAAUGCGUAGAUAUAGGAAGGAACACCAGUGGCGAAGGCGACCACCUGGACUGAUACUGACACUGAGGUGCGAAAGCGUGGGGAGCAAAC
rnacentral:rRNA from 1 species